ensembl:lncRNA
GUACCCAGUCAAUGAUAACUUGGUUAUAUACACGGGGUACCAGUACCCAGUCAAUGAUAACUUGGUUAUAUACACGGGGUACCAGUACAGAGUCAAUAAUAACUUGGUUAUAUACACGGGGUACCAUACCCAGUCAAUGAUAACUUGGCUAUAUACACAGGGUCGUGACAUGGAAAAACCAGCUAACAAAGAGACUCCUCCCCCUCUCAUCUUACCCGAGGCUGCCAUCCGGUCGUGACGAUGGAAAAACCAGCAAGAUGUAUAUCAUCCAUGUCCUUGUUCAGCCACGACUCAGAAAACCAAACAAUAUUACAGCUGUUCAGGUCACGUUGAUAGAAUAGUCUCUAACGGAACUCGUCCAGCUUGUUCUUCAGUGACUGUACAUUCACCAAUAGAACGGAGGGUAUAGGCGGUUUAUUUACCCGACAACAUAGAAUAUUCCGUUAGCCAAUAGAACGGAGGGUAUAGGCGGUUUAUUUACCCGACAACAUAGAAUAUUCCGUUAGCCAAUAGAACGGAGGGUAUAGGUGUUUUAUUUACCCGACAACAUAGAAUAUUCCGUUAGCCAAUAGAACGGAGGGUAUAGGCGGUUUAUUUACCCGACAACAUAGAAUAUUCCGUUAGCCAAUAGAACGGAGGGUAUAGGUGUUUUAUUUACCCGACAACAUAGAAUAUUCCGUUAGCCAAUAGAACGGAGGGUAUAGGCGGUUUAUUUACCCGACAACAUAGAAUAUUCCGUUAGCCAAUAGAACGGAGGGUAUAGGCGGUUUAUUUACCCGACAACAUAGAAUAUUCCGUUAGCCAAUAGAACGGAGGGUAUAGGUGUUUUAUUUACCCGACAACAUAGAAUAUUCCGUUAGCCAAUAGAACGGAGGGUAUAGGCGGUUUAUUUACCCGACAACGUAGUUUAGUCAGGAUGCCAACUCUUCUGCCUCUUCUUGUGCCGUCACUUCCUUUUUCCAGUUCCUGAGGGAAUUAGCGCCUGGUCCGGAGUAAACAGAACAUCCAGAGCUGACAACUCGUUGAAGUAGAAAAUUGUCAUCCAAAUUGUAGGUUAGUGAUCACUGUUCAGAUGUCCAGAAGCUGUUUUCGGUCAUAGGAAAUGAAGACGGAGAUAUUAUGUCAAACAAAAAGUUAAGAUCAGCGGGGGAAGAGAAACAAAAACACACAAAAUAUCAGAAUUGGUCUGGAGCCCAUGAAAAGGCGUCACAGCAGCUCAGGCCUUUACAUCUCAACGGCACAGGUACAAAGAUGAGUCCUCUGUCGAUCUCUAUGGCCUGUUCACAUGUGUAUCUGCACUCUCAUUGGCUAGAAUGCUCCCACCUGAUCUCGCCUCCUCCCGCCUGCCUUCCAUCUUUGAAGACAUGUAUUUCCAUUGUUAGAACGGUCACAUGACUAAAGAAUAGACAUUCUUGGCUUCCACCAUAUUAAUGUACUGGGUGGGACUUCCAAAUUCAUUAGCUGAUCCCUCCUGAUCCCUCCUCAAUGUACUACUUCAAAAUGGAGAUUGCCUCAAUGGCGCUGCCCCAAACACACAGAUGCUAUAAUGGGAAUUAUAAACUAGGUGGUUUGAACCCUUAAUGCUGAUUGGCUGAAAGCUGUGGUAAAUCAGACCGGGUAUGACAAAACAUGUAUUUUUGCUGCUGUAAUUACGUACCAGUUAAUAAUAGCAAUAAGGCACCUCGGUGGUUUGUGUAUAUGGCAAAUAUACCACAGCCAAUGGCUGUAUCCAGCCACUCUGCAUUGCAUCAUGAUAAGAACAGCCCUUAGCCGUGGUAUAUUGGUCAUGUACCACACCCCCUCGGGCCUUAUUGCUUAAUAACUACUGCAUACACUGAGUAUACCAAACAUUAGGAACACCUUCGUCAUUUUGAGUUGGCCCUCAGAACAGCCUCAAUUCGUUGGGGCAUGGACUCUACAAGGUGUUGAAAGGGUUCCACAGGGAUGCUGGCCCAUGUUGACUCCAAUGCUUCCCACGGUUGUGUCCAAGUUGUCUGGAUGUUCGUAGGGUGGUGGACCAUUCUUGAUACACAAAGGAAAAACUGUUGAGCGUGACAAAUCCAGCAGCGUUGCAGUUCUUGUCACAAACCGGUGCGCCUGGCACCUACUACCAUACCCCGUUCAUUGUCUUGCCCAUUUGCCCUCUGGAUGGAACACAGACACAAUCCAUGUGUCAAGUUGUCUCAAGGCUUAAAAAUCCUCCUUUAACCAGGUCUCCUCCCCUUCAUCUACACUGAUUGCAGUGGAUUUAACAAGUGACAUCAAUAAGGGAUCAUACCUUUCACCUGGAUUCACCUGGUCAGUCUGUGUCAUGGACAGAGCAGGUGUUCUUAAAUGAUUUGCAUACUCAGUGCUUUCUCUAUCAUUAUCUAUGGUCAGGUGGGAAAAAAAAGCUUUGUCUUGAUUGGCUCCUCUUGGGGAAAGGGAGGUCGGGUAACGCCCCUAGUUUAAAUCUAUGCAGUAGUAGCAGAGAUACAGUAUAUUGUACAGUCGUCUCAAAUAAAACUGUGAAGGACCUCGGCGUUACUCUGGACCCUGAUCUCUCUUUUGAAGAACAUAUCAAGACCAUUUCAAGGACAUCUUUUUUCCAUCUACGUAACAUUGCAAAAAUCAGAAACUUUCUGUCCAAAAAUGAUGCAGAAAAAUUAAUCCAUGCUUUUGUCACUUCUAGGUUAGACUACUGCAAUGCUCUAUUUUCCG